UCUGAUUGGCUCGCAUCAUCAGAUCCUCAGAGGCAGCUUAGCCCAGCAGUGCCACCUUUGGGCGCAUGAAUAUCCAAGGGAAAUCAGAUCAGCAUCUCAGAGAGAGAAAGCAAGAAGACCCCACGUGCAUUACAACCUACUCUCGCUGGCAUGGGGCCAGCCUACCAGUCCACAAAUGAAUAAACCCGUGAAAUACGGUCCAUGCACCCAGGUCUAAUGGAGUAUUACCCAGUCUUCAAAAAGGAUGAGAUCCUGCCAAGUGGGAAGACCUGGGCAAACCAGGAGAACAUUGCAGCACAGUGUUGGGCACUGACCACACAUAUGGACAGAACAGCUCGUGACCCAGCAAGAGACAGACACAUGGAAAGCAUCAGCGAUGCAUCAAGCCCUGAAAGGAUAAAAAAGUCCUCAAGGAGAAAAGGACAUGGCACCAAGCAGUGUUCGUGGCUCCGAUCCCAGUUUCACCCUCUUCAGGCACUCCUAUGAGUGAGAUUAUCUUUAAAUACUGUCCUUAUUCUAAUAAAGUCAUUC